rnacentral:rRNA from 1 species
GAUGAACGCUGGCGGCGUGCCUAAUACAUGCAAGUCGAGCGAACAGACGAGGAGCUUGCUCCUCUGAUGUUAGCGGCGGACGGGUGAGUAACACGUGGAUAACCUACCUAUAAGACUGGGAUAACUUCGGGAAACCGGAGCUAAUACCGGAUAACAUGUUGAACCGCAUGGUUCAACAGUGAAAGACGGUCUUGCUGUCACUUAUAGAUGGAUCCGCGCCGCAUUAGCUAGUUGGUAAGGUAACGGCUUACCAAGGCAACGAUGCGUAGCCGACCUGAGAGGGUGAUCGGCCACACUGGAACUGAGACACGGUCCAGACUCCUACGGGAGGCAGCAGUAGGGAAUCUUCCGCAAUGGGCGAAAGCCUGACGGAGCAACGCCGCGUGAGUGAAGAAGGUCUUCGGAUCGUAAAACUCUGUUAUUAGGGAAGAACAAACGUGUAAGUAACUAUGCACGUCUUGACGGUACCUAAUCAGAAAGCCACGGCUAACUACGUG